GGGGUUGUGGCUCAGUGUUAGAGCACUCACCUAGCACGUGGGAGGCCCUGGGUUUGAUCCUCAGCAAUACAA
rfam:Ictidomys tridecemlineatus contig086188, whole genome shotgun sequence.